rnacentral:rRNA from 1 species
UCGAGCGAGCUUGCCUAGAUGAUUUUAGUGCUUGCACUAAAUGAAACUAGAUACAAGCGAGCGGCGGACGGGUGAGUAACACGUGGGUAACCUGCCCAAGAGACUGGGAUAACACCUGGAAACAGAUGCUAAUACCGGAUAACAACACUAGACGCAUGUCUAGAGUUUGAAAGAUGGUUCUGCUAUCACUCUUGGAUGGACCUGCGGUGCAUUAGCUAGUUGGUAAGGUAACGGCUUACCAAGGCAAUGAUGCAUAGCCGAGUUGAGAGACUGAUCGGCCACAUUGGGACUGAGACACGGCUCAAACUCCUACGGGAGGCAGCAGUAGGGAAUCUUCCACAAUGGACGAAAGUCUGAUGGAGCAACGCCGCGUGAGUGAAGAAGGGUUUCGGCUCGUAAAGCUCUGUUGGUAGUGAAGAAAGAUAGAGGUAGUAACUGGCCUUUAUUUGACGGUAAUUACUUAGAAAGUCACGGCUAACUACGUGCCAGCAGCCGCGGUAAUACGUAGGUGGCAAGCGUUGUCCGGAUUUAUUGGGCGUAAAGCGAGUGCAGGCGGUUCAAUAAGUCUGAUGUGAAAGCCUUCGGCUCAACCGGAGAAUUGCAUCAGAAACUGUUGAACUUGAGUGCAGAAGAGGAGAGUGGAACUCCAUGUGUAGCGGUGGAAUGCGUAGAUAUAUGGAAGAACACCAGUGGCGAAGGCGGCUCUCUGGUCUGCAACUGACG